rnacentral:rRNA from 1 species
GUAACGACUCUCGGCAACGGAUAUCUCGGCUCUCGCAUCGAUGAAGAACGUAGCGAAAUGCGAUACUUGGUGUGAAUUGCAGAAUCCCGUGAACCAUCGAGUCUUUGAACGCAAGUUGCGCCCGACGCCUUCUGGCCGAGGGCACGCCUGCCUGGGCGUCACGC